rnacentral:rRNA from 1 species
AUGGAGGGAAAAACUCCAGAAGCGAGGGAAAACCCUCUUCCCAUUCCCAUUCCCCAAAUGUGCUCACAGAAAGAGAUGGAAACCCACGCCGGCCUGGUCUCCGACGGCGGCAACCCUGCUCCGACGAAGCCGGGGAUGGACGAACCACGCGCCGGCGCCGAUGCCGCUGAAGCCCCCUCCUUCGCCGGCCCCGACGCGCUCCCCGUCCCCCAGCCGUGUACGGUCGCCGGCGCGAGGAAGCGGAAGGCCCCGGCGACGGCCAAGGUAGUCAGGAAGGCUCACAAGCCGCAGGUUGAAGUUGAAGAACCAAUUCAGAUGCCUGUGUACUAUGGACGUAGAGAACCGUUUUCCCGCGUGCGUGGCAACGAUUUGGAAAACAAAUGUGCCCACUUAAUUGGCGAGCUACCGCUGCAGCUACAGUCCAUGUCAUUGGUGGAUCUACAGCUCUGGAUCUUCAGGCUGUUCCGGCUCCAUCCAGAAACACAAGAUCUCGGUAUCAAGGGGUUCCUCAAGCAACGCAAAACUGAUUUCUUUGACGAAGAGUCCUCCGAACCGGACUAUUCUUUGGAGGACUACCCGUGGGGCAUGCAUGAGUUUUUGACUGACAAAUGCUGGAGUUCCUUUGCAAAUAAAUUGAAGAGUAAAAAACAUGUGACGCAGAAGUUCAUGUUGUAUGUGCAAUCUUCUGAGGUCAAGCACUACGACAUUUUGCUCAAAGCCGUACAUGAUGAUUACUCUCAACUGGCCACGGUUAUGUUGCCUGGGAUGGAGUUCCUGGCAAGUAGUCGCUACGCCUUCCGUGACCUUGUGGAUGAUCUGACGAUGACAGCUAAGGAAUUGGUACAUUAUCUCACUGGACCCUUAGGCGAGAAGAUUAGUCCCGCUGAGGCGUGGAGGGCAAGACAGUUUGCUCUGGAGAGGGAAUUCAGCACCUUUUAUGAUUCACACAACUUUGCCCCGAGGUUGCUUAAGGAAAUAGCACGCAAGAACCCUGGUUGUUUUGUUGACAUCAAGGAUGCAGAGGUUGCAGACUGUAAGGGUUUCCGAGUCCUGCACCGUAUGUUUUGGGCAUUUGGACAGUGCUUACAGGCCUUCCGUACCUGUCGCCCUGUGCUAUGCAUCAAGGGCACACCACUAUGUGGGAAAUAUCAAGGGAUGUUGUUGACUGCUGUGGCAUCGGAUGCUAAUGAUUUUUCCAUUCCAGUAGCAUGUGCUAUAGUUGAGGGUGAGACCAAGGAAAGUUGGUUGUGGUUUCUUAGGAAUUUGGAGCGAGCAGUGGUGCAUCAGUCUGAUGUGUGUCUUAUACACGACUACAAAAGGGAGUUGAUUGAUGCUGUGGAAGACCUUCUGAAAUAUCAAUAUCGACAGUGGCGUAAAGCAGAAAGCCGGUGGUGCAUGGAAGACCUUGCUGAAAACUUCUUUGCGUAUUUUGGCGACAAGAAGCUGCUGCUGAUUUUCAAGAGACUUUGCCAGCAGAAGCGACGCCAUAAGUUUGGUAAAAUCUGGAAGGAGCUAGACGAGUUAACGUCGACAUAUAUGGCAGAGAAAGAACGUGGGGCUAGUGGGGAAAUGCAGCAGGAAUCAGUCAAGCAUGAUGUGGCAGAGCUUGAGGCGCAAAGCCCAUGUAACCAACAUGAUUAUGUGAAGGAUGUGAAGGAAGAUCAUGCCGAUGACACCAAAGGGAAGAUAACAAAGUUCUCUGAUUGGAUCAGUCUGAAACCGAAGGAGAAGUGGUCACUGGCAUAUGACAGAGAUGGAGCAAGGUAUGGCAUCAUGGGCAGUGAUAUAGCUGAUAUAUAUAAGAAUGACCCUGUAUUGAAAGGGAUCACAUGCCUUCCUCUCAGUGCGAUAGUGGAGGUAACAUUUCGGCGCUUGGUAAAGUACUUCGAGAACACAAGUGCUGCAGCAAACAAAGCAAUUGGCAACCCAUCAAUUAACUUCCCGGAACGUGUCCAGGUUGACAUGAAUUCCAAAAUGCAGAAAUCCGAGACGCAUACACUUACGUAUACGUAUGCCGAUGAGAAGAAUGCUCGUGGUGAGGUAUUGGAUCGGAAGUUUACAGUUAAGGGAAGGAAGAGGGAGGUGACUGUUCACCUGAAGUCGGAAUAUACCCUCAGCAGGAAUAAGUCUGAAGGAUCCACAGUUGAAAAAACUGCCACCUGUUCAUGCAGCAAGCCGCAGCUACUUCACAAGCCUUGCUCUCAUGUUAUCGCCAUCUGUUGUAAGAUUGGGGUUAGCGCUGCUACAUACAUGUCCCCAUACUACAGCCUGCCCUACUUAGGUAGGACUUGGAGUGUUAAUUUUGAUGAAUCUAAGAUCUCACGCGACUACAGAAAUAUCAUGCUGUUUGGAUGCACGACUACCUGGAUCCCAGACAAAAGAUUGGAGUGUGGUCUGCCUGCUUUUGUAACAUCCGACUGCCUAGCAACUGUCAUGGAGGAGUUAGAGCCACAAUGCAGCACUGGAAAUGUAUCAACUGAAGACAAUCAAGGAUCGACAACACGCUUAGAAGAACCUAAUCAAAUUUAA